rnacentral:misc_RNA from 1 species
UCACAUGUGUGGAUAUACAAGCUCAAUCCCCGCAGGUGUAGAAAUUCAAAUUCUUCAAUAUUGAACUUUGCUGGUUGCUAGCUCCUUUCUUGAAUAGGCUGCUUAUAAUUCCUGUAAAGCACAAUAGUCUUCACGAAUAUUACAGUGACUGCAUAGGACCUAUACUAUUAAUCAUCUUGGGUAUGUACUGUAUAUAUAUAUAUAUAUAUCUGACUUUAUUUGCAUGAAUUAAUGUAUGAUGCUCAUACAAACAAGUGUACAUAUGCAUGAUAUAUAUCAUAUGUGUGUGUGUGCAUGCGUGUCAUAUUCUUAGCUUGAGCAUAAAAAGGCACAUAGGAAAAGUUUUGCCUUUUUGGAUAUG